rnacentral:rRNA from 1 species
UAUGGAAUCUUCCGCAAUGGACGCAAGUCUGACGGAGCAACGCCGCGUGAGUGAAGAAGGAUUUCGGUUCGUAAAACUCUGUUGUUAGAGAAGAACAGCGCAUAGAGUAACUGUUAUGCGUGUGACGGUAUCUAACCAGAAAGCCACGGCUAACUACGUGCCAGCAGCCGCGGUAAUACGUAGGUGGCAAGCGUUGUCCGGAUUUAUUGGGCGUAAAGCGAGCGCAGGCGGUCAAUUAAGUCUGAUGUGAAAGCCCCCGGCUCAACCGGGGAGGGUCAUUGGAAACUGGUUGACUUGAGUGCAGAAGAGGAGAGUGGAAUUCCAUGUGUAGCGGUGAAAUGCGUAGAUAUAUGGAGGAACACCAGUGGCGAAGGCGACUCUCUGGUCUGUAACUGACGCUGAGGCUCGAAAGCGUGGGGAGCGAACAGG